CUGUCUCUCUCUCCCCUCUCUCAUUCCCUCUUCACACUUAGGAAAGGCGAUAUGAGCACAUAGCUAGAAGUUGGCCAGGAAGAGAGAUCUCACCAGAAGCUAACCAUGCUGGCAUCCUGAUCUCAGAUUUUCAGCCUUCAGAACUGUGCAUGUGGAUGUAACCAGACUCCAAAGGAUUGUAUAACAACAUAGCCUACCUCAUUGACUCAGUACCUGCAAGGAAGCUACCCACCAACCUUCAUAUCCACACCAUACUCCCUCUCACAGUGACUAAUGCAUGACUUUGCACAUGAAGUUACUUGCACUUAGGUGCGAAUUAUUUUAAGGAUUGGCUCAUGCCGUUAUGGUGGCUGGGAAGUUCUAAAUCUGCUAUACAGAUCAGCUAGGUAA